GACGAACGCUGGCGGCGUGCUUAACACAUGCAAGUCGAACGGAAAGGCCCGGUUUUUGUGGGGUGCUCGAGUGGCGAAAGGGUGAGUAACACGUGAGUAACCUGCCCUUGACUUUGGGAUAACUUCAGGAAACUGGGGCUAAUACCGGAUAUGAGCUCCUGCUGCAUGGUGGGGGUUGGAAAGUUUCGGCGGUUGGGGAUGGACUCGCGGUUUAUCAGCUUGUUGGUGGGGUAGUGGCUUACCAAGGCUUUGACGGGUAGCCGCCCUGAGAGGGUGACCGGCCACAUUGGGCCUGAGAUGCGGCCCAGACGGCUACGGGAGGCAGCAGUGGGGAAUAUUGCACAAUGGGCGGAAGCCUGAUGCAGCAACGCCGCGUGCGGGAUGACGGCCUUCGGGUUGUAAACCGCUUUCGCCUGUGACGAAGCGUGAGUGACGGUAAUGGGUAAAGAAGCACCGGCUAACUACGUG
rnacentral:rRNA from 1 species